UUUGAGUGGAGAUGCAGCUUCAGGAAGUCAAUAUCCAAGAUGGCCACUGGUGUGAUCUCGCGAGAACGAGAGAGAUCGGUGCUCUCGAUUGUCUGCUAGGACAGCUGCUACCCCGACUUUGCGGCACCAACACACGAAGCCGCUUUCUUACCUCGAGGUGCGGACGCCAAUUAACUUGCAAUUAACUUAAUCUAAGGAGUCGUCUUCACGGAAGGCGAUCCUGGAUAACCGAAUGCACAGUUAAUUGAAGACCAGAUAAUCGAGAUUCCACUGUAUAUAAAAUUAACUUAAGGCAAUCUCAUUCCAUGCCUCUAUCCCAAAAAUGAUGAGUUUGCAGACGAUAUGGCAUUGGUUGCUAGGCUAAGGAUGAGGAGUCACUGGCAAGCUAUUUCCUCCAGGUUCAGAAAUUACACUCAUGGUUUGAAGAAAACUUCCUGGUGCUCAAUGUCUCCAAAACUAAGGAAGUGGUCCUUGAUAGAAGAAAAUAUCAACCUGUCCACACCCCCAUAAUUAUUGAUAAUGAGGUAAUAGAACAGGUGCAAAGUUUUAGGUACCUCGGCACAGUGCUAGACAACAAACUGUCCUUUCAGGAAAACACCAGCGUUGUUUCCAGGAAAGCAAAUCAGCGCCUGUUCCUGCUGAGGCAAUUGGGAAUUUUGGUGUCAGUAGCCCUAUCCUCGAGUUAGUAUAUCGCAGCCUCAUCGAGAGCAUCAUAACAUUUAAUAUAUCGAUGUGGUUUGGCGUUCUCUCUGUCAAAGAUAAAGCUUGUUUGACGAGGGUGGUCAAGAGUGCCAGUAAGAUCAUUGGUUCUCCACAAAGACCUUUAGGUGAACUAAUCAUCAGGGCUGUGAGGUUAAAAGCGGUCAGCAUCAUCACAGACCCUUCUCACCUACUACAUCGCCAUUUUCAACUGCUACCCUCCGGCCAUAGAUGGAAGCAAGUGGUCACCAAGAAGAGUGCCUUUGCCAAGUCAUUUUUACCGACCUCAAUAGCACUCUUAAACAGAUCUCCCAUAUGUACCUAGUCUGAAUGUGUGUGUGUGUGUAAGAGAGUAAGAGGAAGUGCAUCUGACAAUUGUGUCAUGAAAUUUAUUAUGUAUAUUUUUUGCAGUUGACUGUGGGAGCUCCCAGCAACAAAGAAAACUUUCUAUCUCUGUUGUAACCAGACAUAGACAAUAAAGAUGUAUUGUAUUGUCCAUGGUGCCCCACGUAAAACUAGCCCGCUUCCAAUCUUCAAAUUUUAGCUUUAUUACAUACUUAUAUCUUUUUUUUAACUAAAACAGAAGCAGAAGUGCAAAAUGAAACACAGAAGGGGUGGGAGAGAAUUGAAACUAUACAUGUUUACUGCAAAUGAGACAAGGACAAAAAAAAAAAUCAAAAUUUCAAGACAAAAUUUCUUAAGCUGGCAAAUCUGAACACCACAUAAAAAUGCCAUAUAACAUAUGUAAGUAAUGCAUGCUCAUUGAUACAUAAUAGAAACCAGAAUCUACUGCUUCUUGAAAAAGGCAGUCAUUUUUGGCUGGUCCAGAUAUCUGUCAGCAGAUCAUCAUACAAAGGUACCAAUUCAUAUCUUGAGUUAUUAUUGAACAGUAACAUAGGUUACCUGGUUACAAGGCUAUUGAUUUCGUCCAAAUGCUGUACCUUAGCAUGGAAGCUGUUCAGGGAAAUGCUGGUAAAAGUCACUUUAUUGGAGGGACGCUGCAAGUUACAGAGCUUUUUCUUGCUGUAUUCAGCCAGUUACAUGAAUGUGAUCUCAUUUCUUUUCUAGAACUUUUUUAAGAUCACUUUCUUGCACUUUAGUCCCAUGCUGGUUUCCUGUGAAUUUGCUUCCGCGACGAGUUUUUAAGCAAUUUUGCUAAGUACGAUCAAUUAAGAGUGCAGGCAAACCAAGACCAAAGUAGUAUGCAUGACAGAUAAAGUCAUCAAAGGUUUAUUUAGUCCCGGACUUUGAGAAUCAUUGAUAGCUUUAACUGCAUCAUGUCAAACUCGUCAGUUGCAUCUUUCUUCUUCCUUUUCACAUCAGUUGCAAUGACAUUCUAAGCUUUUGCAUCUGAGCUGACACUGCUUGCUUGAAACUAUUCCAUAUUAAAUUGUCUUUUUAUGUGCUGUUGACAGUUUCUCCAGCAGACAGAACACCCUUCCGCAACAGACCCCACUUUUCUUUACAUUCAUGCACACUGCUCCAGGAAACUGGGUAAACAACCUGGCCUAUGAUAUGUCACAUCCCCGCAUAAAAUUCAUUAUAAUAGAACUUUUUCACUGCGGACUUCUAUUUCAUUAGAUUAAAAAAUUAUUUAUAUCGAGAUUGUACUUGUAUCUGGAUUUGUGAUGGUCAUCUAGCAGCAUCUGAGUAAUAGGCAUGCCUAUAAAUGGUGCCUGUCCAUCGGCCAGCUUACAGGCCAAAAUGCCCACACUGUAAAUGUCAAAUUUCGUAUUGCAUUCAGCCAGAUUCUUUUGUUAAAGAAUUUCCAGACUGAACUACUACAGGCAAUCAACAGCAUGUUGGGAGUAGUCACAGAUUGCAGGUGUUAAUUGUCCCCCUUGUUGUGGAGGCAAGUGAGACACACCUGUCGACUAGCUGUUAUUAAAACAUGGCUAGCCUUCAUGCCCCUGUGCAUGACAUGUCUGCUAUGCAAGUAUUUCAGAGCAUGCAGUACAUCCCGCAAGAUAUAUGUAACCGUUAGCUCUGGCAGUCCUGCUGUGAAAAAAGGUAUGCAGCAAGCAAUCACAGCAAAAACCAGAGUCCAUAACAGGCAUGACUAUCCACAGUUCAUGGUGAUGAAGCUACACUAAUGUGGGAGAAUAGUCUCAGCUUGUAACUGCUUGGUUAAUACAACUUUUUUCUGUACAUAAGAGAACUAAUCUAGAUCAAUCCGUUUAACAGCCACCUGCAGUCCUGUUGGCAAGUGCUGAGUUAGAUGCACUGUGAAUUGUAUAUUUGUGACCUUUGACUAUCACAGUAUAUAGCUGAUAGGAACAGGCAACACUGUCAAACUGCAUGAUGACCAAGUGUGAUGAUGAUGACUCAAUGAUGUUAAGAGUGACCUUCGUCUUAUUUUCUGACAAUAGUGAGGAGGUGAUGUCGUAAGGCUGACUUGCUGGUGGAUCACCAGACAGUUGAGAUUAGGAACAAGCACAAUGCUUUGUUACUGAUUUGUCUAAAUACCUUUCGUCUGUCUUUAGCCUCUUGUCACUCUCAAAUCUAUAUGAACUUUACCUGCUCCUAGUUUUAAGAAAGACAUAAAGUACAGUAGUCAGUCAGAUUUGUCUGAGCGACCUGGCGACAUAUUUCACUGUCAAGAUUUAGAGUUUAGAUCUGUAAUUGUUAUCGAAGAAGACAUAAAAAAAGAAACAAAACAGAUCAAGCAUGUUUAGGAUAAAGCUUUGCAGGUCACACAACCUGUAGACAAGUUUUCUGCCUUGAGUCGUCAAGAAGUUUUGCCACGUCAUUGUAUGUUUCAUCUUGCUGCUGACAUGCACAAACAGGAAACUGGAUUGAGAUGUGUGAUAGGAAGGACUGUUAGUCAACGGAUCAACUGAAGAUGAAGAAGAAAAACAAAAUUCACAAUCAAGAAACAUGGUCCAACACAGUACUAGGAUUAUGACAGGUCAAAAAAUGAAGUAAUGAAAGGCUAGUCCCUCCCAUCCAGUAAGGAAAAGGGACAUCACUCUCUGUAUACUACUAGAAUUGCCACAAGAUAUACAUAUAUUACCAUUUCCACCAAAUACCAUUUUCCACAGCUUAAUUAAACUUUUUUUGUUUGUUUUAUAAUGUGCAUUUUUACCAGUUUGCACCAUUUAUGAAUACAAGUAUAGACACACACCUAAUGACCAGGAAAAUUAUGCAAAAGCAUA
rnacentral:lncRNA from 1 species